rnacentral:misc_RNA from 1 species
GAUGAAGAACGUAGCGAAAUGCGAUAAGUAAUGUGAAUUGCAGAAUUCAGUGAAUCAUCGAAUCUUUGAACGCACAUUGCGCCCGCCAGUAUUCUGGCGGGCAUGCCUGUUCGAGCGUCAUUACAACCCUCAGGCCCCCGGGCCUGGCGUUGGGGAUCGGCGGAAGCCCCCUGCGGGCACAACGCCGUCCCCCAAAUACAGUGGCGGUCCCGCCGCAGCUUCCAUUGCGUAGUAGCUAACACCUCGCAACUGGAGAGCGGCGCGGCCACGCCGUAAAACACCCAACUUUUACCGAGUUGACCUCGAAUCAGGUAGGAAUACCCGCUGAACUUAAGCAUAUCAAUAAGCGGAGGA